AAAUGCGAUAAGUAAUGUGAAUUGCAGAAUUCAGUGAAUCAUCGAAUCUUUGAACGCACAUUGCGCCCGCCAGUAUUCUGGCGGGCAUGCCUGUCCGAGCGUCAUUUCAACCAUCAAGCCCCCGGGCUUGUGUUGGGGACCUGCGGCUGCCCGCAGGCCCUGAAAACCAGUGGCGGGCUCGCUGUCACACCGAGCGUAGUAGCAAUCACCUCGCUCAGGGCGUGCUGCGGGUUCCGGCCGUUAAACAGCCUGACAAAACCCAAGGUUGACCUCGGAUCAGGUAGGGAGACCCGCUGAACUUAAGC
rnacentral:misc_RNA from 1 species